GAUGAACGCUGGCGGCGUGCUUAACACAUGCAAGUCGAACGAUGAAGCCCAGCUUGCUGGGUGUAUUAGUGGCGAACGGGUGAGUAACACGUGAGUAACCUGCCCUUAACUCUGGGAUAAGCCUGGGAAACUGGGUCUAAUACCGGAUAGGAGCGUCCACCGCAUGGUGGGUGUUGGAAAGAUUUAUCGGUUUUGGAUGGAAUCGCGGCCUAUCAGCUUGUUGGUGAGGUAAUGGCUCACCAAGGCGACGACGGGUAGCCGGCCUGUGAGGGUGACCGGCCGAACUGGGACUGCGGCACGGCACAGACUCGUACGGGGAGCAGCAGUGGGGAAUAUUGCACAACGGGCGCAAGCGUGAUGCAGCAACGCCGCGUGAGGGAUGACGGCCUUCGAGUUGUAAACCUAUUUCAGUAGGGAAGAAGCGAAAGUGACGGUACCUGCAGAAGAAGCACCGGCUAACUACGUG
rnacentral:rRNA from 1 species